UGGGGAAUUUUGGACAAUGGGCGCAAGCCUGAUCCAGCAAUGCCGCGUGUGUGAAGAAGGCCUUCGGGUUGUAAAGCACUUUUGUCCGGAAAGAAAACCUCGUGGUUAAUACCCGUGGGGGAUGACGGUACCGGAAGAAUAAGCACCGGCUAACUACGUGCCAGCAGCCGCGGUAAGACGUAGGGUGCAAGCGUUAAUCGGAAUUACUGGGCGUAAAGCGUGCGCAGGCGGUUCGCUAAGACAGAUGUGAAAUCCCCGGGCUUAACCUGGGAACUGCAUUUGUGACUGGCGGGCUAGAGUAUGGCAGAGGGGGGUAGAAUUCCACGUGUAGCAGUGAAAUGCGUAGAGAUGUGGAGGAAUACCGAUGGCGAAGGCAGCCCCACGGGCCAAUACUGACGCUCAUGCACGAAAGCGUGGGGAGCAAACAGG
rnacentral:rRNA from 1 species